AAACAAGAGGGCUAGAUAUCACCUUCUGUCAGAACUCAAGAGUUAUGAAUGACCCUCGACAUACCAAUGCUUUCUGACUGAGCUCCCCUGUACCCUGAACACAAGAGACCCUAAUAGAUAGGCAGGAAUGUCAUCACCCCUCUUCAGCCUGAAGAUGUUAUAGAAGACGGAUCUUCAUCCCUCUGCAACCCUAAGGAUUAAGGCUUCUCUUAUAAAAGGGAUGGGGAAAAUGUCAGAUGCAUUUGAACCAGAGCAACUCCAUCUUGAAUAGGGCCUGGGUAAAAUGAAGCUGAGACCUACUGUGCUGCAUUCCCAGAUGGUUACAGCAUUCUAAGUCACAGGAUGAGAUAGGAGGUUGCAAAAGAUACAGGUCAUGAAGACCUUGGGGAUAAAAUAGGUUGCAGUGAAUAAGCCAGGUAAAACUCAUCAAAACCAACAUGCUGACACAAAUAACCUCUGCUUGUCCUCACUGCUACACUCCCACCAGUGCAACGACGUUUACAAAUGCCAUGGCAACAUCAGGAAGUUACCUUAUAUGUUCUAUAAAGGGGAGGCAUAAAUAAUCCACUCCUUGUUUGGCAUAUCAUCAAGAAAUAACCAUACAAAUGGGAAACCAGCAGCCCUCAGGGCUGCUCUGAUUAUGGAGUAGCCAUUCUUUUAUUCCUUUACUUUCCUAAUUAACUUGCUUUCACUUUAUCCUUUGGACUCAUCCUGAAUUCUUUCCUGUGUGUGAUCCAAGAACCCUCUCUUUCGGUCUGGAUCAGGAACCCUUUCCUAUAACAAUUUGCUAAAGUGCCUACUUUGGUUUGUGCAGCUCACAUGGAAUCAAGGUUUAAAGCUGCUGCUGGGGCUACUUGCACUCUUCUUCCUGAUAGGGAAUGUGGACUGAACAAGCUAUCACUGGUGGUAGCAACAGAUACUAUUCUCAGUUCCUCCCAGAAAUUGCAAGCCUGCUGUGGUCACUUUCCUGUGUCCCCUUUCUAAACAUAGCUCCCCCUUAAAAAAGAAAAGAAAAGAAAAGACAUUGUUUCUACUGCCUGUUUCAAAAGACAUUGUUUCUACUGCCUGUUUCAUCAUGGUGCAUAGAAAAUAGGAGUAGGGUAGAGGCUGGUAUAUGAAAUGCCAUCAGCUUUGCUCCUCCCAUUCAGGUGGCCCCAGGUUUUACCCCUGGGGUGGCCAGAGAUUUGGGCAAACAUGAUUCUGGGUGUGUCUGUGAAGGUGUUUCUGGAUGUAAUUAACAUUUUAAUCAGUAAACUGAAUAAAGUAGCCUGCCCUUACUAAUGUGGGUGGGCCUUAUGCAAGCAACUGAAGAUCUAAACAGAAUGCAAAGGCUGAGUAAGAGGGAACUCCUCUGCCUGACUGCUGAGCUGGGACUCAGGUUUUCAGACUCAAAUGGAAAUAUUUGCUCUUCUUGGGCUUCAAGCAUCCAGCUUUCAGACUGGCACUCAGAACACUGGGUUUUCUGGUCCUUAGGCCUUCAGUCUCAGACUGGAACUACACCAUCGGUACUCCUGGGUAUUCCACUUGCUGACGGUAGUUCUUGGGACUUUUCAGCCUUUAUAAUUG
rnacentral:lncRNA from 1 species